CUCCGAGUAUAUUCAUGGAAGAAAGAGAUUUUUAGCGUGGAAUAUUCUAUUCUUUGAUGAUGGCUAGAUAGCAAGAAGAUAUCCGACGAAUAAUAAUACAAGCAAUAAGUGACAAAUUAAUCACAACCCAUUCCUCAA